rnacentral:rRNA from 1 species
GACGAACGCUGGCGGCGUGCUUAACACAUGCAAGUCGAACGGAAAGGCCCUGCUUGCAGGGUGCUCGAGUGGCGAACGGGUGAGUAACACGUGGGUGAUCUUCCCCUUACUUUGGGAUAAGCCUGGGAAACUGGGUCUAAUACUGGAUAGGACCAUGCUGUAGGUGGUGUGGUGGAAAGAUUAGUUUCGGUAAGGGAUGAGCUCGCGGCCUAUCAGCUUGUUGGUGGGGUAAUGGCCUACCAAGGCGUCGACGGGUAGCCGGCCUGAGAGGGUGGACGGCCACAUUGGGACUGAGAGACGGCCCAGACUCCUACGGGAGGCAGCAGUGGGGAAUAUUGCACAAUGGGCGCAAGCCUGAUGCAGCGACGCCGCGUGGGGGAUGACGGCCUUCGGGUUGUAAACUCCUUUCAGCCAUGACGAAGCCCUUGUGGUGACGGUAGUGGUAGAAGAAGCACCGGCUAACUACGUG